rnacentral:rRNA from 1 species
AUGCCGUUUGCCUUGUUUGUCGGGGUAAACAACCACUUCCAGUCUGUUAUAUUUGGUGGUGCACUAAUGCGAGAGGAAACUAAAGCUGCUUUUAAUUGGCUAUUUAAGACUUUUGUGGCUCUGAUGAAUGACAAGCAUCAUGUGACGAUCCUAACAGAUCAAGCUUUAGCUAUGAAAGGUGCGAUUGAGAGUGCUCUCCCGAAGACUAAACACAUAUGGUGUAAAUGGCAUGUCCUCCGGGAUGUUAAAGGAAAUAUUGGCCAUGUGUACAACAAGUCUUCUGGGUUCAAGAAGGAAUUCAACAAGCUAGUCAACGAUGUGAUGUGUGUCGAUGAGUUCGAAUCCAAAUGGUUGUCCCUCGUGAACAGGUUCAAUGUCACUGAUAAUGAGUAUAUGGUCAGACUAUAUGAUAAGAGGACCAUGUGGGCAAAGCCGUAUUUCAAGGGAAUUUUUUGUGCUAGAAUGACAAGCACACAGCGUAGCGAGAGUGCUAAUCAUAUAGUGAAACAGUACAUACCGAGGUCAUCCCCCAUGCACGUGUUUGUUCGCCAAUACAACAAAUUCCUUGGGUCAAGGAUGAGCGAUGAGGCAAGGGAAUUCCACCUAAAUGCAAAUAAAUCACGUACUUACGAAUCCACAUAUCCAAUAGAGGAUGAUGCUGCAUCAAUAUACACACGUUCUGUUUUGCUGAAGUUCCAAGACGAGCUUUAUAAGUGUGGGAGUUAUGUAGUGACACCUGUGGUGCACGGUGCACAAUACAUGGUUAGUGUCGCACCAUCCAAAGUAAAGGAUGCAACAAAGAAGAAGUGGCGAAAUGUCAAGAUCGAUGACGACGGGCAGUUCAUAAACUGUGAUUGUGGGAUGUUCGACCAUGUCGGUAUGUUGUGCAGACAUGCAUUGAAGGUAAUGAUUCGUGAAGAUUUUCUGAAGAUCCCCUCUAAAAAUAUUUUGAAGCGAUGGACUAUAUGGGCAACCGAAUCUUAUCCAGCAGGCAUGGACAUGAGCGAUAACGGGCCACAUACAGAUGACACUAGUUAUCUAAAGAACCUCCUGCAUAUUGCUGUCGAGGAUCUCAUGAAAGGGAGUUCACAUGAUAAGAAGAGUUUAGAAGCUGUGGUAGAAGGGAUGGGCAAACUCACAGCUGCAAGACGGAAGAACACUAGUAUGACUGAAACCAACCAUCGUCUGGAACCUCCACACGUCGAGAGUUUCUUCAACAUCCACGUCACACACGGAUCUCGCUCCUGA